ACGGAAGGCAGCAGUGGGGAAUAUUGCACAAUGGGGGAAACCCUGAUGCAGCGACGCCGCGUGAGUGAAGAAGUUAUUCGUAAUGUAAAGCUCUAUCAGCAGGGAAGAAAAUGACGGUACCUGACUAAGAAGCCCCGGCUAACUACGUGCCAGCAGCCGCGGUAAUACGUAGGGGGCAAGCGUUAUCCGGAUUUACUGGGUGUAAAGGGAGCGUAGACGGUCUAGCAAGUCUGAUGUGAAAGGCAGGGGCUCAACUCCUGGACUGCAUUGGAAACUGUUAGUCUUGAGUGUCGGAGAGGUAAGCGGAGUUCCUAGUGUAGCGGUGAAAUGCGUAGAUAUUAGGAGGAACACCAGUGGCGAAGGCGGCUUACUGGACGAUAACUGACGUUGAGGCUCGAAAGCGUGGGGAGCAAACAGGAUUAGAUACCCUGGUA
rnacentral:rRNA from 1 species